rfam:Picea glauca, whole genome shotgun sequence.
UCAUAGGAUUUUUUCAAAUCCAUCUUUAGAAUUAAGGCUUGUAACU